rnacentral:misc_RNA from 1 species
GAAAUGCGAUAAGUAAUGUGAAUUGCAGAAUUCAGUGAAUCAUCGAAUCUUUGAACGCACAUUGCGCCCAUUAGUAUUCUAGUGGGCAUGCCUGUUCGAGCGUCAUUUCGACCAUCAAGCCCUAUUUGCUUGGCGUUGGGAGCUUACCCUGCAGCUGCGGGAUAACUCCUCAAAUAUAUUGGCAGAGUCGCGAAGACCCUAAGCGUAGUAAUUCUUCUCGCUUCAGCAGUGUUGACGCUGGCAUCUAGCCACUAAACCCCUAAUUUUUAUAGGUUUGACCUCGGAUCAGGUAGGAAUACCCGCUGAACUUAA